rnacentral:rRNA from 1 species
UACGUAGGGGGCAAGCGUUGUCCGGAAUUACUGGGCGUAAAGCGCGUGUAGGCGGGACGGUUAGUCGGACGUGAAAGGCUGGGGCUCAACCCCAGAUUGCCGUUCGAAACUGCCGUUCUUGAGGGUCGAAGAGGAGAGUGGAAUUCCUGGUGUAGCGGUGAAAUGCGUAGAGAUCAGGAGGAACACCCAUGGCGAAGGCAGCUCUCUGGUCGACAUCUGACGCUGAGACGCGAAAGCGUGGGGAGCGAACGGG